GUCCAGGGGCGGGAAUCGAACCCACAACCUUCUGCUUACCGGGCUGGUGCCAUGUCCACUAGGCUACCCUGGA